rnacentral:tRNA from 1 species
AAUCCGUCGAUUUCAAAAAUCGUGA